GAUGAAGAACGCAGCGAAAUGCGAUAAGUAAUGUGAAUUGCAGAAUUCAGUGAAUCAUCGAAUCUUUGAACGCACAUUGCGCCCCCUGGUAUUCCGGGGGGCAUGCCUGUCCGAGCGUCAUUACAACCCUCAAGCUCAGCUUGGUGUUGGGCCCCGCCGCCCCGGCGGGCCCUAAAGUCAGUGGCGGUGCCGUCCGGCUCCGAGCGUAGUAAUUCUUCUCGCUCUGGAGGUCCGGUCGUGUGCUCGCCAGCAACCCCCAAUUUUUUUCAGGUUGACCUCGGAUCAGGUAGGGAUACCCGCUGAACUUAAGCAUAUCAAUAAGGGAGGA
rnacentral:misc_RNA from 1 species